AGCAACAACAUUGGAUGUAUCAUUUGCAUUUUCCACCACAACCAUGCUUGAAGCUACAACACCAGCAGCUCCAAAUGACCACAAGGCCAUCCAUAAAAGCAACACAGCCAUAAACGCAUAUGCUACUCUCAACCUCCAAAUCCAUCCAAGAGCAGUCCCAACACCGCCGGCAACAGCAUAGAGUGGCCAGUAAUCAUCUGUCAAACCAGCCUGAUCUUUCAUGAAGCGGUGGUAUCAAAUGUGACCUUGGGAGCCUUAAAAGGGUACUCAUUGGGAAAUGAAAGGGAGAGUUUAUAUUCUGCUCCCUCAAAUACAGCUUCUUUGCUUCCUGUUAUUGUUUCUUUCCAACACAAUAUAUUAUCCUCCUUAGGGAAUGCAGAUAUACCAGAAUCUCCACCCAUCGUCAAAGCCAUCAAUUCAGACUGCAACCUUCUGAGAACAGAUUGAGAAUCUACGGAUUUAGGAGGAAGAGAUUGCUUUGAGGGAGCAAUGUUGUCUUGACCAGCUUCAGUGUGGACGUUAAUGGUAGCCAUGGGAUUUUGAGGCGUUCAAGAUUGUUUUGAUUCCUCAGUUCUGUUAUCCGGCUGAAGGCUUCCUUUUUCUCCUUCUGCUAAGUUGCGGCAAUCAUCAGGUUAUGAAGAUGCUCCUGCAGUUUUGUUCGAUACCUUCCAUCGACAUUCCAACUCCAACCAUUGUUGAGUUAACACUUGCUCGUGCUUCAAUUGGACCAGAUGCUACAUCCUCUAAUAUCCCAUGCAUCUCAAUGUUUCCAUGGAACCGAUUUUAUUAUGCAGGUCGUGGAUUCCGAGUCUUCAAAGCAAAGCAAAAUGGCUUGGCGCGUUGCGAACUCCAUACCAGCUGUUGUUGGAUUUGUACCGUGGUCUUAAAAGAGACAUAAUUAUGAUUGAAUUGCACUGUAACUUGCAAUUGGUGACACCAGAAGUUUUAAACAAUGUAACUUUCAGUAAGAAAUCCUUAUUUCCAAAUGGAAAGUCUGUUGCAACUGGCCCAAUUAAUGAAUCUGAAUAUAGAUUGUAAGAGGUAGACAAAAGGAGAGCAUCAAGGACCUUAGUUUGUAAGUGUCCAACCAAAGCACUUUGAUUUUCAGCAUUACUUCAAGGCAACAACAAUUUCAUUGCACUCUGCACCAAGAUAAUCAAUCUGUGACCCAACUGUGUUACCAAUUUUAGACUUAUAAAAACAGCUCUGUUCAUCAUCACGGAAGGAUAAAAUAAUAGAUACUCCUGAAAAAGUAGCCCUGAGAUUGGUUUCCAUGUGAUGCUGUUCAGAGGGAAGAUGCAAAGAUCCAGAAGCAAGGCUGGAUGCAGCCGUAAUAGCACUGAAAACCGAACAUGUCCAGUUCCACAU